rnacentral:rRNA from 1 species
GGGGGGGGCAAGCGUUGUUCGGAAUUACUGGGCGUAAAGGGCGCGUAGGCGGCGCGAUUAGUCAGGCGUGAAAGCCCCGGGCUCAACCUGGGAACUGCGCUUGAUACUGUCGUGCUUGAGUUCCGGAGAGGAUGGUGGAAUUCCCAGUGUAGAGGUGAAAUUCGUAGAUAUUGGGAAGAACACCGGUGGCGAAGGCGGCCAUCUGGACGGACACUGACGCUGAGGCGCGAAAGCGUGGGGAGCAAACAGGAUUAGAUACCCUGGUAGUCCACGCCGUAAACGAUGAGUGCUAGACGUCGGGGUGCAUGCACUUCGGUGUCGGAGCUAACGCAUUAAGCACUCCGCCUGGGGAGUACGGCCGCAAGGUUA